rnacentral:misc_RNA from 1 species
GAUGAAGAAUGCAGCGAAAUGCGAUAAGUAGUGUGAAUUGCAGAAUUCAGUGAAUCAUCGAAUCUUUGAACGCACAUUGCGCCCUUUGGUAUUCCUUAGGGCAUGCCUGUUCGAGCGUCAUUUAAACCUUCAAGCUCAGCUUGGUGUUGGGUGACUGUCCGCUUCACCGCGGACUCGCCUCAAAAUUAUUGGCGGCCGGUACAUUGGCUUCGAGCGCAGCAGAAACGCGAACUCGGGCCCGUCGUAUUGGCUCCCAGAAGCUAUCUUCACAAUUUUGACCUCGGAUCAGGUAGGGAUACCCGCUGAACUUAAGCAUAUCAAUAAGCGGAGGA